rnacentral:rRNA from 1 species
ACGGGUGAGUAAUACAUCGGAACGUGUCCUGUAGUGGGGGAUAGCCCGGCGAAAGCCGGAUUAAUACCGCAUACGCUCUAAGGAGGAAAGGGGGGGAUCUUAGGACCUCUCGCUCAAGGGGCGGCCGAUGGCAGAUUAGCUAGUUGGUGGGGUAAAGGCCUACCAAGGCGACGAUCUGUAGCUGGUCUGAGAGGACGACCAGCCACACUGGGACUGAGACACGGCCCAGACUCCCACGGGAGGCAGCAGUGGGGAAUUUUGGACAAUGGGCGCAAGCCUGAUCCAGCAAUGCCGCGUGUGUGAAGAAGGCCUUCGGGUUGUAAAGCACUUUUGUCCGGAAAGAAAACCCCUGCCCUAAUACGGCGGGGGGAUGACGGUACCGGAAGAAUAAGCACCGGCUAACUACGUGCCAGCAGCCGCGGUAAUACGUAGGGUGCGAGCGUUAAUCGGAAUUACUGGGCGUAAAGCGUGCGCAGGCGGUUCGUUAAGACAGGUGUGAAAUCCCCGGGCUUAACCUGGGAACUGCAUUUGUGACUGGCGGGCUAGAGUAUGGCAGAGGGGGGUAGAAUUCCACGUGUAGCAGUG